rnacentral:rRNA from 1 species
UACAGAGGAGCCGAGCGUUGUCCGGAUUGACUGGGCGUAAAGCGCACGCAGGCGGCACCGCGCGUGGGGUGUGAAAUCUGGCCGCUUAACGGCCAGGCGCCAUCCCAUACGGCGGAGCUGGAGUGAUGCAGAGGUCGAUGGAAUUGCCGGUGUAGUGGUGAAAUUCGUAGAUAUUCGCAAGAACACCAGUGGCGAAGGCGGCUCACUGGCCCGGUACUGACGCUGAGGUGCGAAAGCGUGGGGAGCAAACAGG